UACGUAGGGUGCGAGCGUUGUCCGGAAUUACUGGGCGUAAAGAGCUCGUAGGUGGUUUGUCGCGUUGUUCGUGAAAACCGGGGGCUUAACCCUCGGCGUGCGGGCGAUACGGGCAGACUGGAGUACUGCAGGGGAGACUGGAAUUCCUGGUGUAGCGGUGGAAUGCGCAGAUAUCAGGAGGAGCACCGGUGGCGAAGGCGGGUCUCUGGGCAGUAACUGACGCUGAGGAGCGAAAGCGUGGGGAGCGAACAGG
rnacentral:rRNA from 1 species